rnacentral:misc_RNA from 1 species
UUGCCUCUUCCCCGUUUAAAUCAUGGAGCAUCAGCCGCUGUUCCCUAUUCCCGGCAGCCGAGCCCCUGCGCGCGCAUCCUCCCGCGCAGUCCCCAGCGCCACCGGCCAACCUCGCCGGCCGAGCUUCCUCGCCUUCAAUCCUUAAGCCGUCGCGCCCCUCAGCUCGCUGGCCGUGACCUCGCCAAGGUUUUUCCCAUGGCCGGCUCACUGCUCAACCCAAACCGAGGUCUUGUACGAAACAGCAUCUCCCAUGGCCGCUGCGUCGCGUUCCUUGUGCUAGCGCAGCUGAACGUCAUACUGCGCAGUGUUUUGUCCGACGUCGAGCUUAGCUCAGUCUCUGUUUCUCUGUGCACGUCGAGUUCCUUGCCGCGCGCUGAGCUUUCUGUCGGUCUCCAACUCGCCAUGGUGUCCAACUCCUGUACCAACCGUGACCUACGCUUGGUCUUCCUAGCUGCGUUGACCUGCGUCGACCUCUGCUCACUUCGCUCGGGAUGUCGUGCUGGGUCGCUCCAUACUUGGUGCACACCCAGCCGGGCGUCGCGAUGUUGUGCACCAUGUGUCACCCGUCAUCCUCAUCCUCACCAUGGCCAGCAGCUUCAAAAACAUGGACGCCCAAGCCUUUUCCCCAUCUUUCACGCCCACCUCGGUCUUCAUCCUCAACCUUUGCCAGGAAUUCGGUUAAUUGGGCGAACCAGAAGAUCUCCAGAAUUUUAUGGAUGAAGAAGAAAAUAAAGUCGAAGAGUGACGCUCGCUACAUGCUCGACGAAAGGCGUGAACUGAAGAUUUAUCACUAUUCCUCAAUUGCCGAAUUA